CCAUACCCCCUCUCCCGCUGACGCCCGGACCGGCGUGUCAUCCCCGACCCCGAGCCGGUGUCCACCUCCAUGGCGGAGGCCGGCCCGAGCACCGCCUCCCCGUGUAGCCCCGCGCGCCUCUCGAUCCCUGCAUACCGCGCCUCGACCCGAUUUCGCAGCCCUAUUAACCCCUCGAAUCCGAGCUCCAAUUCCUUGCGGUGCCGCUGCCGCCACCGCCACAGCUCCGACCGAGCCCAGCCGACGCCAGAGACCACCACAGCCUUCUCCGAGGAGAGCAACGGAACCGCCUAGUCAAGCCGAGCCUCUCGAAUUCGAGCUCGAGCACUCGCCGGCACCGCUACAGCUCCGACAGAGCCCAGCCGACGCCAGAGAACACCACCGACGUCUCCCAGGAGAGAAACGGAACGGCCGACUCAAGGCAAAUCUCUUAGACGCCUUCCCGAGCAGCAAGUAUCACCGGAGCCAGCUCAGCGACAAGCCCCAAAGCCGCCGGCGCCGCCUGAACGCCUCUGAUCCAAUAGAUCAAAACGUUCUACAUAUAUGUUGUUGAGAAACUUGCACAGCAUCUUGGUAUGGAUGAUCCUUCAAAACUUUGCCUUACACGCACAUCCCGCAUUUACCGCAACCGAAACAUCAAUACAUCAAGUAUAGAAGUAUUGAUCAUCUCUCAGACAUGUUACAUUUACAUAAGCCCAAUCAGAUGUAUGACAUUUUAUAUUAUGAGACACUGGACAUUCCUUUGCCAGAACUGCAAGGUCUGAUAACAUUGAGAGUUGGGCCCCGUUCGGGAAUACUCCGCUCCAGGCUCCGCUCCGGGAGCGGACGGAGCUCUAGUACAAAAUCUGGGAGCCAGCAAACCGCCGCUCCGCAGAUUCUAGGAGCUGGUGAAUUCCUGAACGCGGCCUUGCUUUUCACCAAGCUACACACAAUGAGGUGCUGUUUCACGUUAUAUGAUUGCCAAAAGGCAGUACGUUUUCUGAUUUGAUUGACAACUUAAAAUCAAAGGUUGAGCUAUCUCAAAAUGAUGCUGAACUUAGCUAUUUCAGGUCAACAAUAACAAGAUAUGGAAGGUGUACCAGCCAACUGAGAAAAUAGAUGCAGUUCAUGAUCCAAACCUCUUCAUGUUGAGGAGCAGGUAGAAUGUGCAUUCGUGAAAGAUAACACUGUUUGACGAAUUCGUGGGGAACGCGGUGCGGGAGUUGCUCCGUCCCGAGGGAGGCACGACGGCAGGCGGGUUGAACGUUGGCCACAGCGUAGUGUGAGCCGGGAGAGUUGCCGUCAACCUGGUCUCAGGGCGGGCAGGAACUAAUAGUUGGAUGCCAGCAACAAACUGCGCCACCAUUACUCCCUCCAGCCAUCUGUGCCGGUGCCGCUUCUCCUCAAAUACAAGCAAAGAAGCGCGCGCCGGUUCAUCGGAGACAGAGAAGGGAUGUUCCGGUGCAGUACAUGAAGUGUCUGUUCCGCACGGUGCAGUUCCUGAACGGAAAGGAGACACUGAACGGAAGGACAUACACUGACAAUUGUUAUGUGAAGAAGAGACUGGUGAGGUUGUUGAUGUCUGUGUGGUUCCCCAUGAAACUGGUUAUGUUGGAUUUGCUAUGGCUGAAGCUUCUCGCAAGGCAAUGUGUGAUGCCAUUUGCAACCUUCUUGUUGAGCAACCUGAAACAGGAGUAACUCCAUUAAUCAUUAUGUAGGCAAUAUUAUGGUAGCUGCAGGAGUGGGCGGUGCUCGGCUGCCGACAGGCGCUGAUGACGGUGGCCGAGUUGGACCCCGUCAGGGACAGGGCGCGCAUGUACGUCGAGGUGCUCCAGGGCAGCGCGUGAGGCAGUGAGAAGGUCGUGCUGUAUGAGGUGGGGCGCAAGGAGACCACAUGUAUUACUUCCUGAAAAUCGCGAGAUCCAACCCUGUCGUGGCGUUUUUCCACUCAACCGUUCAAAUUAUACUGUUUUUAUACUGAGUUUCAGGUUCGUUUGUACCCGACUACAACUUCAGAGAAGUGAUCAUGUAUUUCUUGUCUUAUCAGAUUAUAUUGUGCAGAUGUAUGUCUUGUUUUUUUUUUUUUUUGCGGGGCAGAUGUAUGUCUUGUUGAUUAGUAGUAGUAUCAUUCAGAAGCUUUCUAAAGAUGAAUAGAUCGGAAGUUUUCUCCAAAAAAAUGGGUUGGCCUUGCUGACUUGCCCCACUUGCCACCACUGUACCACUGUAGUAUCUGAGAUGUUUUGCUGUUCAGCCAAUAAUUACCACCUAUGUAAAGUUUACAGAGGGAGUAAUUAAUUAGAUCUAUUCUAUUAGCCAAUAUUUCUA